rnacentral:rRNA from 1 species
GAAUGUGGACUUGGAUGUUGCCGUUUUAUCACGGCUCGUCUUAAAUGCCUGAGUGUACCCUGUUUUGCAGCGUAUCCAGUGUAAUAAACAUUUCACUAGAGUUGGUCGAAAGACCGCGUUGACUAUAUGGGCUCUAUGCUUCAAACCGUCUGCCAUGUGGACAAUUUCUUGACAAUUUGACCUCAAAUCGGGUGGGACUACCCGCUGAACUUAAGCAUAUCAAUAAGCGGAGGAAAAGAAACUAACAAGGAUUCCCCUAGUAACGGCGAGUGAAGAGGGAAAAGCUCAAAUUUUAAAUCUGGUGUCUUUGACUCCCGAGUUGUAAUCUAGAGAAGUGUUUUCCGUGUCGGACCGUGUACAAGUUCCCUGGAACGGGGCGUCAUAGAGGGUGAGAAUCCCGUAUAUGCCACGGACUACCGAUGCUCUGUGAUACACUCUCAACGAGUCGAGUUGUUUGGGAAUGCAGCUCAAAAUGGGUGGUAAAUUCCAUCUAAAGCUAAAUAUUGGCGAGAGACCGAUAGCGAACAAGUACCGUGAGGGAAAGAUGAAAAGCACUUUGGAAAGAGAGUGAAACAGUACGUGAAAUUGUUGAAAGGGAAGCGUUUGAAGUCAGUCGCAUCUGUUGGGGUUCAGCCUGGCUUUUGCCUGGUGUAUUUCCUUUCCGAUGGGUCAGCAUCAGUUUCGACCGAGGGAAAAAGACAUUUGGAAUGUGGCUGUCUUCGGGCAGUGUUAUAGCCUUGUGUUGUAUGUCUCGGUUGGGACUGAGGAUUGCAGCGCGCCAUAAAUGGCCGGGGGUCGCUCCUCUCGACACGCGCUUAGGAUGCUGGCAUAAUGGCUUUAAGCGACC